GAGCCCACCUUCCUUUCCCCUCCUCCUCCAACACCUUCUUUCCUUCCUGUUUCUCAGCUGUGGCUUCUGGACCUUUGGACCCUGGAAGAGUUGCAGGAAGUAUGUUGCUAGGCAGCGAGGCAGGCUUAUUGGUGAAGGCAUGGCAUGCCCAGCCAUUGAAACAAUUGGUGAGUGUGAAAAGGUGACGUUUCCAUUUAAAACGCCCCAUCUCUGCACAUUUCCAUCCCGCUCUGCCUGCUGACGCCUCGCAUGAGGACAUUCCUUAGGCAGCGAGGCCAUGUGCUGUGUCUGCCCCGCCCCUCCAGUUACCUUGAGAUCCAACCAGAGUCAGUGUGGAGAGAGGACAUGUUAAGUGACUAACGCAUGGACUGCAUCUGCAAAUGAGAAUGCGGAAAGCAGUGCAUUACUGACACUCCUGCCACGGAAGUCCUGUCUUGCCCCAGAAUCAGGAUGCUUUUUUCUCAACAAACUGCACUGUUUCAGCUCAACUGCCAGGAGUCUCAUUUCUGCCCACCUGAUUAUUAUAUAGUAAUGUUCGAAGGAGAUUUAACUGUAACACCACUGUACCAUUUCCCACCCACCACCCACAGGAAUGGCUAAACCAGCCGUGGGCAAACUACGGCCCGCGGGCCGGAUCCGGCCCAUUUGAAAUGAAUAAAACUAAAAAAAAAAAAAAAAA